rnacentral:rRNA from 1 species
UCAUACAGCCAUAUCACCCAGGUUGCCCACUGAAGCUCAGCAGGGUUGAGCCUGGUCAGUAUCUGGAUGGGAGACCUCCUGGGAAAACUAGGUUGCUGCUGGAA